rnacentral:rRNA from 1 species
UACAGAGGCCUCGAGCGUUAGGCGGAAUCACUGGGCUUAAAGCGUGUGUAGGCGGAUGGUUAAGUACCUUGUGAAAUCCCACGGCUCAACCGUGGAACCGCUCGGUAUACUGGUCAUCUUGAGCCACUUAGGGGUUACCGGAACAAAUGGUGGAGCGGUGAAAUGCGUAGAUAUCAUUUGGAACGCCAAUGGUGAAAACAGGUAACUGGGAGUGUGCUGACGCUGAGACACGAAAGCCAGGGGAGCGAACGGG